CGUAGAAUGAAUAUUUUUCUGUGUUGGUGUUGUGUACUCAGGUGAAUAAUAUGUUUUGCGAUGUUACUCUGAGUGCAUAUCCACACCGGGCGAGCUUGAAAAAUAUGCCCGGCCACGGUGGGAUUCGAACCUACGACCCUUGGAAUACUAGCCCAAUGCUCUUCCAACUGAGCUACGCGGUCAGGACGGUUCGAGUAAGUGAUAUUUCGGAACAGUAUCUAGUUCCUUCAAUACCAAUGUAUUCUAGUAAUAUGAAU